rnacentral:rRNA from 1 species
GACGUAGGGCGCGAGCGUUGUCCGGAUUUAUUGGGCGUAAAGGGCGCGUAGGCGGCUUCGCAAGUGACGGGUGAAAUCCCUCGGCUUAACCGAGGAACUGCCUGUCAGACUGCAUGGCUUGAGACCAGGAGAGGUGAGUGGAAUUCCCAGUGUAGCGGUGAAAUGCGUAGAUAUUGGGAGGAACACCAGUGGCGAAGGCGGCUCACUGGACUGGUACUGACGCUGAGGCGCGAAAGCGUGGGGAGCAAACAGG